ACGGGGGGGGCAAGCGUUGUUCGGAAUUACUGGGCGUAAAGGGCGCGUAGGCGGCUCUUCAAGUCAGCCGUGAAAUCUCCAGGCUUAACCUGGAAGGGUCGGUUGAUACUGUCGAGCUAGAGUGUAGAAGAGGCAACUGGAAUUCCGUGUGUAGCGGUGAAAUGCGUAGAUAUACGGAGGAACACCUGCGGCGAAGGCGGGUUGCUGGGCUAACACUGACGCUGAGGCGCGAAAGCUAGGGUAGCAAACGGGAUUAGAUACCCCGGUAGUCCUAGCCUUAAACGAUGCUGACUUGGUGUCCCGGGUUUUAAGUCCCGGGGUGCUGGAGCUAACGCGUUAAGUCAGCCGCCUGGGGAGUACGGUCGCAAGGCUG
rnacentral:rRNA from 1 species